rnacentral:rRNA from 1 species
CCUACGGGAGGCAGCAGUGAGGAAUAUUGGUCAAUGGACGAGAGUCUGAACCAGCCAAGUAGCGUGAAGGAUGACUGCCCUAUGGGUUGUAAACUUCUUUUAUAUGGGAAUAAAAUGUUCCACGUGUGGGAUUUUGUAUGUACCAUAUGAAUAAGGAUCGGCUAACUCCGUGCCAGCAGCCGCGGUAAUACGGAGGAUCCGAGCGUUAUCCGGAUUUAUUGGGUUUAAAGGGAGCGUAGGUGGAUUGUUAAGUCAGUUGUGAAAGUUUGCGGCUCAACCGUAAAAUUGCAGUUGAAACUGGCAGUCUUGAGUACAGUAGAGGUGGGCGGAAUUCGUGGUGUAGCGGUGAAAGGCUUAGAUAUCACGAAGAACUCCGAUGGCGAAGGCAGCUCACUGGACUGCAACUGACACUGAGGCUCGAAAGUGUGGGUAUCAAACAGGAUUAGAUACCCGGGUAGUC